GCGCCCGUAGCUCAGUUGGAUAGAGUGUCGGCCUCCGAAGCCGAAGGUCGCAGGUUCGAAUCCUGCCGGGCGCGCCA
rnacentral:tRNA from 5 species